rnacentral:rRNA from 1 species
UACGUAGGGGGCAAGCGUUGUCCGGAUUUAUUGGGCGUAAAGAGCUCGUAGGCGGUCUGUCGCGUCGGCUGUGAAAACCCGGAGCUCAACUCCGGGCCUGCAGUCGAUACGGGCAGACUGGAGUUCGGCAGGGGAGACUGGAAUUCCUGGUGUAGCGGUGGAAAUGCGCAGAUAUCAGGAGGAACACCGGUGGCGAAGGCGGGUCUCUGGGCCGAUACUGACGCUGAGGCGCGAAAGCUAGGGUAGCAACGGG